rnacentral:lncRNA from 1 species
UGUUUUCUACUCAUAAUUCUAACAUGAUUGUUUUUUUCUUUUAAUCUGCUAAUGUUUCCUUAGGCUGUGACACUGACACAAGAUACUUGGAUAUGCAUCAACAAGGGAGUCUCUAUUAGAAUAUCUGUUACAUUCUCGGUAUUAUUCCUCACAGUUUUGGUAUUCAUGAUUAGUAAAAGUAAUUUAUUCUUGGGUAAUAAGUUGGAGCUACAAUGUGUGAUUCCACUGAGGGGCUCUAAUGUUCAAAUUUUGAAAAAUGCAGAUGUGAAUCAUGUCUGAGCAGAAGACAAUGUCGACAUUAUUGAUGACCAACUUUAAGUCAAGGAUUAAGAUC